AGUGACGUCAGCAGCACAUUUAACUUAUAUAUCAUAACCAAAUUCUUCAUUCCCCCCUCACCUCAGAAACUACCACCAAGGAAUGCCAUGGAUACUGAAUAGAAAGGCUUUGGACAACUGUAAUGAAAAAUGGAAAAUCAUAAAGAUAUUCUGGGAUGGCAGAUUUUAUUUUAAAUUAUAUUUCCCAAACAUUUCUGGCAAUGAGAAUGGGAUAUCUGGAAAUUUCAGAAUCAGCAGACAACUGAAGCUCUGUAGUCACACAGUAAGAUAUGCUUGCUUCGCUUUCACUUUCUGCCAUGAUUGUAAGUUUCCUGAGGCCUCUGUUGCCAUGCCUGAUGCACAGCCUGCAG
rnacentral:lncRNA from 13 species